GGGGGCGCUAAGGUUUGACAGGGUUUAAACCAAAACAGGGCAGGUGGAGCUCCAAAGCCUCCUAAAACCGCAAUAGGAGAGCACAACUCUCUGGCGCGGUAAACCUUUGGAAAAAUUUUAAGUGCCACAUAUCAAGCACAACCUGCAUACGCAUUAGCGUAAUGCCAUCUUGCUGCUGACGCCUGAUAAGCAGAACAAGGUGUCAAACAUCAGGCUUAAUAACCAGACGCUCCGGCUGGUUAUGAAAAAAAGGAGCAAGGGCUUUAAUGCUUUUGUUCUUUUUUACAUUAAAGCCUCAACCAAAAGAACUAAACCUGUAGAACUGUAAUGGAAUAAAUCCUGCACGUGGGUUCAAAUCCCACCGUCUCCACAU
rnacentral:tmRNA from 1 species